UACGUAGGGCGCAAGCGUUGUCCGGAAUUAUUGGGCGUAAAGAGCUCGUAGGCGGCCUGUUGCGUCCGCUGUGAAAUCCCGGGGCUCAACCCCGGGCCUGCAGUGGAUACGGGCUGGCUAGAGGCAGGCAGGGGAGAACGGAAUUCCUGGUGGUAGCGGUGAAAUGCGCAGAUAUCAGGAGGAACACCGGUGGCGAAGGCGGUUCUCUGGGCCUGUACUGACGCUGAGGAGCGAAAGCGUGGGGAGCAAACAGG
rnacentral:rRNA from 1 species